rnacentral:tRNA from 2 species
GAUUAAAGAGCUUGAUUUAUAGCGUAUAACUUUUAAUUAUAAGAUAUCUUUGAUUUUAAUCA